ensembl:lncRNA
GUGGGUGGAGAGGCUGCCGGCUGCCAGGGGGAGGCUUUAGAGAGACCAGCUGAAAGAAGCUGUGGAGGGAGCAAUAUGGAGUGGAGCCUGUCAAGUAAGGGAGUAGGAAGUGACUGCAGGGAGCAAGGGACAGAAAAGCUCUCAGUUGCUUAGUGUGUGGUCAUUAAAUAUGGAGGAAAGAUUUCCUGGCCUUCUGCCUUGUAAAAAGAAAUAAUAAUAAUAAAGAGAAUUUUCCUUGGGGGAGAAGAAGCAAAGAAUUAAUUAAGCCCAGACUUGAGAUGGUCUCCAGUGUCUCAUUCAGUGGCAUUCCACUCUAUUAAUUUUGCCCUCCACUGACACUUAAAUACCAUGCCAGCUUUUAUCCCAGAUUGAUUUCUUUCAUCCCAAUGUAAGGCAUGGAGUGGAAACAUCUGACAUAUUGUGGCAGCGGAGAAUGAGAGUCCAUCUUUUUGCUGGUGCCUUUGACUUGGAAUUUGGAGCACAGUGGUGGGAGCUUGAGCCAGGCAGGAGCCAGCUCCUUGUGAUGGCAGUCACACCUGCAUUUGGACUGCGCAAGUCCAAAGGAACGUUUGAUUCAUUCUGCACAAGAGGAGGUGAGCCCUGAUUUACCUCAGCUCUGUAGUGUGAACAUUGCCUAAGAUCCACCCAAAACACCUACACAGCUUCUUCCAAGAAGCCUUUGGAAAUCCCUUGUGUAGUCAGGGUUUUGCUACCAGUCCAGCAAUUUGAGAUCCACUUCUGCUGAUCUGUAGGAGAGAGGCGCCAGGAGGUUUCGGUUUCAAACUCAGCUAUCCUCCAGCUCCCCUCAGCUGUGGGGACAGAACUUCAAAGGAAACCCAGCCCCUGCCCUGAGUUGGGACUCUGCACUGUGCCCUCUGGGAAGUGUGACUGGCUGAAAGAAAUGCUCUUGGAAGCUUAGCGUUGUGACAGACAAGAAAUUGGAUGAGAAAACAGAAACAGCUUAGAGGGUAGGAAUGUGGAUUUGACAACAGCAUACGGCAAAAAUGAUCUAGUUCCAACGAUAAAUGCCUAUCUCAUAUCUGAGAUAAACUGAGGUUUCCAUGUUUCCCAGAUUUUUCUGGCACUUAAGUGCACCACGAGGCCAUGUGGUGAGAAUUAGCUCAGUGCCUUGAAAGUUGCUGGGUUACACCGACUGCUACACGGCCCUUUAUGCGCGUAAAAUGUAUCGUAUGUAUUUUUCUUUUCUAUAUUGAAUUAAGUUUUCUAUAUUACAUUUCUCUAGAUUGUUGUGUGGUUGGUUGGUUGGUUGUUUUUUUUUUUCAAACUGAAAGUACAGCAACUCUCAUUUCAUUGUAUUCAGCCUUACUUGGUUUCAGGCUAUGGCAAAGACAAUUCUUUUUUCCUCUGUUAUGUGUGAGUCCCUUCUGACACUGAAAACAUUACAUUGUCUUCAUAAGGAGUUGGUGCUGUUUAUUGAACAUAAAGCUAAGGGGUGCACCAAAACAAUAAUAGUAAUAAUACAGUAUCUGCAGACAAACAGCUUUUCCGACACAAAACAACAAAAUCAGCUAUUGCCAUAAGUAUCAAUUAAUGCUUUGAAGAUGCUUUAAUUGCACGGUAUCUAUUUCAGAGCAUUGAAAUGCAGAGUUAAUUUGAGCUAAAAGAAGAUAUGAUUCACAGUCAAAAUGUAAGCUGCAACUUGACAAGGGGUUUAAUAGCUGCCUCAGGCAGAUCAGAAUGUGUGAUAAUGAGAAUCCAGCAGAAAAACAUAUUAUGAACGGCAGCGUUUUCCAGGGUAAGCAGUGUCAGUGUCCAGACAGCAGCGUUCCCUGUGGGGCAAAGGGGCAGAAAUGGCCACUCUGGGUAACGGUGACUGCUCCAAGCUUUCAGUAUAGCUA